rnacentral:pre_miRNA from 1 species
AUAUGAAUUGCCUGGGAAUGUUAAAAUGCAGACUAUAAUUCAGUAGGUAUGGAGUGGGGCCUGAUAUUCUGCAUUCUUAGUAAGCCUUUGGGUGAUGCUAAA